UACGUAGGGUGCGAGCGUUGUCCGGAUUUAUUGGGCGUAAAGAGCUCGUAGGCGGUUUGUCGCGUCGGCCGUGAAAUCUCCACGCUUAACGUGGAGCGUGCGGUCGAUACGGGCAGACUUGAGUUCGGUAGGGGAGACUGGAAUUCCUGGUGUAGCGCUGAAAUGCGCAGAUAUCAGGAAGAACACCCGUGGCUAAGGCGGUUCUCUAGUACGGUACUGACGCUGAGACGCGAAAGCGUGGGGAGCGAACAGG
rnacentral:rRNA from 1 species